rnacentral:rRNA from 1 species
UACGAAGGGGGCAAGCGUUGUUCGGAAUUACUGGGCGUAAAGGGCGCGUAGGCGGCUUACCAAGUCAGGCGUGAAAUUCCCGGGCUCAACCUGGGGGCUGCGCUUGAUACUGGUGAGCUUGAAUGCGGGAGAGGAUAGUGGAAUUCCCAGUGUAGAGGUGAAAUUCGUAGAUAUUCGCAAGAACACCAGUGGCGAAGGCGGCUCGCUGGGCCAUUCCUGACGCUGAGACGCGAAAGCUAGGGGAGCGAACAGG